AGAUAGUGAUACUGAAUCUUAUCUGAUAACAUUAUUGUUUCCAUAGUAUCCUGGCCCACCGGACUGAGAAGAAAAAGCUUCACUGACUCUCAACUCAGCAGCGUGAAGGUGGUCAACAGUCCAAGACUGAGAUGGAAAAGAAUUUGAAACUUGCGUCUCACUGGUCAUGUGUGGAUGCUGCUUCCUGGCUUACAUGUGUGCAUAUACAAACUAUGUACAAGCUGAAGUGUGAGCCUGGCUGUGCAGACCUAUGCCUUAUAUUUGAUUGA
rnacentral:lncRNA from 1 species